GGGGAAUAUUGGACAAUGGGCGAAAGCCUGAUCCAGCAAUACCGCGUGUGUGAAGAAGGCCUGAGGGUUGUAAAGCACUUUUAAUCGGGAGGAACACCUGUCAGCUAAUACCUGGCAGUAUGACAUUACCGAUAGAAAAAGCACCGGCUAACUCCGUGCCAGCAGCCGCGGUAAUACGGAGGGUGCAAGCGUUAAUCGGAAUUACUGGGCGUAAAGCGUGCGUAGGCGGUUAUUUAAGUCAGAUGUGAAAGCCCCGGGCUUAACCUGGGAACUGCAUUUGAUACUGGGUAACUAGAGUUGAGUAGAGGAGAGGGGAAUUUCAGGUGUAGCGGUGAAAUGCGUAGAGAUCUGAAGGAACACCAGUGGCGAAGGCGCCUCUCUGGACUCAAACUGACGCUGAGGUACGAAAGCGUGGGUAGCAAAC
rnacentral:rRNA from 1 species